AUACGGAGGAUGCGAGCGUUAUCCGGAUUUAUUGGGUUUAAAGGGUGCGUAGGCUGUGCGUUAAGUCAGGGGUGAAAUGCCGUCGCUCAACGACGGAGCUGCCCUUGAUACUGGCGUGCUGGAGUACGGAUGCCGUUGGAGGAAUGAGUGGUGUAGCGGUGAAAUGCUUAGAUAUCGCUCAGAACACCGAUUGCGAAGGCAUCUGACGAAUCCGUCACUGACGCUGAGGCACGAAAGCGUGGGGAUAGAACAGGAUUAGAUACCCUGGUAUUCCACGCCGUAAACGAUGAUGACUAACCGUCGGCGAUAGACAGCCGGUGGCCAAGCGAAAGCGAUAAGUCAUCCACCUGGGGAGUACGUCGGCAACGAUGAAACUCAAAUGAAUUGGCGGGG
rnacentral:rRNA from 1 species